GAUGAACGCUGGCGGCGUGCCUAAUACAUGCAAGUCGAGCGAACAGACGAGGAGCUUGCUCCUCUGACGUUAGCGGCGGGCGGGUGAGUAACACGUGGAUAACCUACCUAUAAGACUGGGAUAACUUCGGGAAACCGGAGCUAAUACCGGAUAAUAUAUUGAACCGCAUGGUUCAAUAGUGAAAGACGGUUUUGCUGUCACUUAUAGAUGGAUCCGCGCCGCAUUAGCUAGUUGGUAAGGUAACGGCUUACCAAGGCAACGAUGCGUAGCCGACCUGAGAGGGGGAUCGGCCACACUGGAACUGAGACACGGUCCAGACUCCUACGGGAGGCAGCAGUAGGGAAUCUUCCGCAAUGGGCGAAAGCCUGACGGAGCAACGCCGCGUGAGUGAUGAAGGUCUUCGGAUCGUAAAACUCUGUUAUUAGGGAAGAACAAAUGUGUAAGUAACUAUGCACGUCUUGACGGUACCUAAUCAGAAAGCCACGGCUAACUACGU
rnacentral:rRNA from 1 species